GUCCCGUGGUGAGGGCAAGCCAAGAGAUACUCUUGGAAGAGCUCCCAUGCCUUAGGGAUUGACUCAUCCAGCGCUUGUUGGAAGUUGGUAAUCCUUCCGCAAAGGGC
rnacentral:snoRNA from 1 species